rnacentral:rRNA from 1 species
UACGUAGGGUGCGAGCGUUAAUCGGAAUUACUGGGCGUAAAGCGUGCGCAGGCGGUGAUGUAAGACAGGUGUGAAAUCCCCGGGCUUAACCUGGGAACUGCAUUUGUGACUGCAUCGCUGGAGUGCGGCAGAGGGGGAUGGAAUUCCGCGUGUAGCAGUGAAAUGCGUAGAUAUGCGGAGGAACACCGAUGGCGAAGGCAAUCCCCUGGGCCUGCACUGACGCUCAUGCACGAAAGCGUGGGGAGCAGACGGG